UUCACAAGAAAAUCUACAAUGAGUGGCAGGCUUAUUAUUUGACCUAGUUCCUCGUAAUUUAUAAGAUAAGAAGAUAUGAUAAUCUCAUCAAAAUUUUAGCGUAAUACACUUGACAAGAACCAAGUCUUCAAAGUCACAUAUGACAUCAGUCUCUUUAUUGACUUAAACUCAUUGCUAGCAAACACAUUUUUUUUAAAUUUUUGAUUUGGUACGAGUACUAAGCUACUGUUAGUGUCGACUAGCGCAAUGCAAUAAAUAGAUCAUUGUAUCCACAGACUAAAGCUUGUCCAAUACAACAAAGUGAACAAAUACAAUUCGAUCUGAAACUAAAAGCUCAUCACCAAACAACAGAUUUCAAAGCAUGAAAACCAGUGAAAAAAAUUGACCAAGACACACAAAAAAUCUUUAUAUUUCAUCAUCAAUAUUUGAGCUUCAAACCAAAAGUUAUGUGGACUUUUUGUUUCGUCCAUUAUUAAUGGUUUUUUUUUUAAUUUCCC